GGUAAAAUAUGGGUGAAACAAUAGGAGUUUAGAAAAUGCUUAAUAAUAAGGGUAAUUCUUAUUAUACAUCUUGUAAUGUUACUCUCCCAAAGUAAAAUCUGGUAAUAGAAAGUAGGAUUUAAUACUUUGAGCAUUUAAUACUUUGAGAAGGCUGAUGGUAUGCUCAUUAAAAAUGAAUCAAUGAAAUAUUUAUUUAAACACUUUUAUUUAAAACGUGUUAUAUCUUUGAAUGGGGUGCCCCCUGCUAACAUUUUCAAACAGAUAUCCCAAAUCAUUUCCAAGUACAGUUAUCCCUCUGUAUCAGCCCGGAGACUGGUUCUAGUAUCCCCUUGGAUACCAAAAUUCACACAUACUAUUUUUCCUCUGCUUUUAAUGAAGUUUGAUUGUAAAACUGUUUUAAUUUGAAUAAAAUGAUACUGAGGUAGACAAUUUCUCUGGUAGGAAUCUUCUUUUAUUCUCCUUCAUUCAAAGCCACUUCUAGUGAGGUUUUCUCUGAUCUCAGGUUAUAUUACCUUCAUAGCAUAUGAUAAAGGGUCCUUAACUUAGUCUGGGAGAUAAUUAUUAUUGAAGUAGGUAUAUUUAUUUCUUAGUUUUGUUUUUCCUAUAAAAAUUAGAAUCACAUGAUAUAAUUUUAUGUUUGUUUUCCCCCAUAACACAUAUAUUAUGUAUUUUUAAUGUUAUUAACAUUUAAAAAUAAAAUACAUAAUAAUUAAGGUAAACUUUUUA
rnacentral:lncRNA from 1 species